UGGUCAAGUUAUUAAGGGUGCAGGGCGGAUGCCUUGGCACUAGGAGCCGAUGAAGGACGUGAUAAGCUGCGAUAAGCUUCGGGGAGUUGCACGUAAACUUUGAUCCGAAGAUUUCCGAAUGAGGAAACUCACUUAGAGUAAUGUCUAAGUAUCAUUAAGUGAAUACAUAGCUUAAUGAGGGGAACUCAGGGAACUGAAACAUCUAAGUACCUGAAGGAAGAGAAAGAAAUUCGAUUCCGUAAGUAGCGGCGAGCGAACGCGGAUUAGCCCAAACCAAUAAAGUUUUCUUUAUUGGGGUUGCGGACAUAUCAUAACGAAGAGGUAUCGUAAUUGAAGAGGUUUGGAAAGACUCACCACAGAAGGUAAUAGUCCUGUAUGUUAAACGAGAAGACUUUAGAUAUGAUCCAGAGUACCACGGGACACGUGAAACCCUGUGGGAAGCAGGAGGGACCACCCUCCAAGGCUAAAUACUACCUAGUGACCGAUAGCGUAUAGUACCGUGAGGGAAAGGUGAAAAGAACCCCGGGAGGGGAGUGAAAUAGAACCUGAAACCCUG
rnacentral:rRNA from 1 species